AGUGAACGCUGGCGGUAGGCCUAACACAUGCAAGUCGAACGGCAGCACAGUAAGAGCUUGCCCUUACGGGUGGCGAGUGGCGGACGGGUGAGGAAUACAUCGGAAUCUACUUUUUCGUGGGGGAUAACGUAGGGAAACUUACGCUAAUACCGCAUACGUCCUACGGGUGAAAGCAGGGGAUCUUCGGACCUUGCGCGAUUGAAUGAGCCGAUGUCGGAUUAGCUAGUUGGCGGGGUAAAGGCCCACCAAGGCGACGAUCCGUAGCUGGUCUGAGAGGAUGAUCAGCCACACUGGAACUGAGACACGGUCCAGACUCCUACGGGAGGCAGCAGUGGGGAAUAUUGGACAAUGGGCGCAAGCCUGACCCAGCCAUACCGCGUGGGUGAAGAAGGCCUUCGGGUUGUAAAGCCCUUUUGUUGGGAAAGAAAAGCAGCAGGUUAAUACCCCGCUGUUCUGACGGUACCCAAAGAAUAAGCACCGGCUAACUUCGUG
rnacentral:rRNA from 1 species